UGCUUUUUAAAUGGUUUGAAAAAUCACUGUAGAAGAGGAUGCAGUAAAUGGAGCAAAAGAGACUAGAAACCCUUUGUACAAGCCAAAGCCACUGAAAAGCCUGGGGACUGGGGUAGGGAAUUGGAGAGGUGAGUGUGACAGAGGUGAGUGGCCAAAGGGAGGCAUGUUCAGGAAAAGACCUUCGUUGGCUGUUUUGGUCUUCAUCCCAGUGUGUGUUCUGCGGGGAUGGGGAAGGACGAAGCCUGAGCCCCAUCAAGAAGGGCCCAAGGGGACUUCCCUGGUGGCACACUGGAUAAGAACCCGCCUGCCAAUACAGGGUACAUGGGCUCGAGCCCUGGUCCGGGAAGAUCCCACAUGCCGUGGAGCAACUAAGCCCGUGCACCACAACUACUGAGCCUGCACUCUAGAGCCCACAAGCCACAACUACUGAGCCCACAUGCCACAACUACUAAAGCCCGCGUGCCUAGAGCCCGUGCUCUGCAACAAGAGAAGCCACCGCGAUGAGAAACCCGCGCACUGCAACGAAAAGCAGCCCCUGCUCGCUGCAACUAGAGAAAGCCCGCGCGCAGCAACAAAGACCCAAUGCAGCCAUAAAUAAAUAAAUAAGUAAAUUUAUGGAAAGAAACAAAAAAAAGAAGGGCCCAGGGAAUCAGAUUUCCUGCUGUUCCUUCCUGGACAAAGCUUACUGCUCUCCAUGGCUCUUCAGGAAUCCAAGGAGCCUGAUGUCUAUCAGAAGAAUUUUGAACCCACGUCCUACCUGGACUACUUCAAGGUGAACCAGGAUCCCCUGGGUGAUGAAGUCCUCCAUUUCCUGCUAAAGCACUACAAUAUCACUUUUAAACCAGGUGGGCUGGAAGGAAAACUCCUGGUUGAUCUCAGCUCUGGGCCCACCAUCUACAAGCUCCUCUCUGCCUGCGAGUCUUUCAAAGAGAUCAUUGCCAUCAGCUACCCAGACAGAACUGCCAACAGCUGGAGAAGUGGCUAAAGAAGACGCCAGGGGCGUUUGACUGGUCUCGGUGGUGAAAUAUGUGCGUGAGCUUGAGGGGAACAGGGGCACCAGGAUUUUCUCUGGCCCAAGGAAUGUGACUGCAUCUGUGCGUGGUACUACAAACCUCCUGUGCCAUUCUCUGAGGGCUCUCUCUUCCCUCCCCUGCUGGCUGCAUGCAGAGAAUCCAGCGGAGGACCCUGAGGCCCUAGGAAAUGACAGAGCUACACAGUAGAAGCCUGACCAUCUGGAGUAGUACUCUGCCCUUGACCCCCACUACACUGGACCGUGAUGUGAACCAAAAAUAAACAUUUGUUUUGUUAAG